GGACCCGCACAAGCGGUGGAUGAUGUGGUUUAAUUCGAUGCAACGCGAAAAACCUUACCCACCUUUGACAUGUAUGGAAGAUCGCAGAGACGCGAUUGUGCUCGAAAGAGAGCCAUAACACAGGUGCUGCAUGGCUGUCGUCAGCUCGUGUCGUGAGAUGUUGGGUUAAGUCCCGCAACGAGCGCAACCCUUGCCAUUAGUUGCUACAUUUAGUUGGGCACUCUAAUGGGACUGCCGGUGACAAACCGGAGGAAGGUGGGGAUGACGUCAAGUCCUCAUGGCCCUUAUAGGUGGGGCUACACACGUCAUACAAUGGCUGGUACAAAGGGUUGCCAACCCGCGAGGGGGAGCUAAUCCCAUAAAGCCAGUCGUAGUCCGGAUCGUAGUCUGCAACUCGACUACGUGAAGUCGGAAUCGCUAGUAAUCGUGGAUCAGAAUGUCACGGUGAAUACGUUCCCGGGUCUU
rnacentral:rRNA from 1 species